GACUACGACACUAUUUACUUGCAACUUGUUUUAUAAUUAUAGAUUUUGAAUAUCUGAAAAAAAAAUACAUUAUUGAAAUUCAAACGCCGUAAGUGGCAUCAUUGCCUGCCAUUAAACGGUUCUAAAGGGGACGCCAUUAUUACAGUCUAUUGUUCUGAAAUAGAUAUUAGCCGAGUUCAGGGUUUUGUGUCUUUUUAAACUGUUUUUCUAUUUAAUUUCAAUAAAAAUGUCAAAGCGGUGUAUAAUAUGCCGACAAUUACAGGAAAAGAGCCAAAUAUGUGCUACUUCUUUUCACAACAGUGUCGAUGAAAAGGUUGUGCCAUCUCUAAAGUUCCCUCUUCGAGAAAUUGCCAGUGAAACAUCUUCAAUCGCAUGUCCCCGUUCCGUAAGAGAGGAGCUGUCAAUGCUAUGAGCUCAAAAUUCAGUUUAUUUUUGUUGAGUGCAUUUAAAACGUGCUUGGAACAUGUUUAUUUUCCCAUACGAUUAAAUGUUGUUCAAUGUAAUUUAAUUUUUCAGUUACUUUUAGUACAAAGUUUUGUUUUCUAUGCAUUGUUUAUAUUCCAGCAGAUUUUAAUGAAAUAUAUUUUUGCUCGUU